GUUGGUACCUGCUCAAAGCUACAGGACAAGAUUUUUGUCAGUGUUUAAUAUUUAAACUAGGAACUAAGCAAAGGUUACUCUAUUUAGCAGUCACUAACCAGCACCUCAGAAAGAAGUAAGCAGCAGUUUUUUGUUAUUAUUAUUUACGUAGAACUUUCAAAGUUCAUAAAUAUUAACUUACCUUCAAUGUCUUUCUGUGAAAUUUCAUUUUCCAUACUGAUCCAUUAAGGUCUGAAGUUUCUGAACUGUCGUUAAUUCUACCAGGUGGAUGCAAGCUUGGAUUCUAUCCCUUCUCAACUUCUUGUAAACUCUGAAAUCUGUAAAGGAGGUCAUGAAGAAAGGAUAUCUGGAGUCAACUUGGCUCACACAUCCUAGUCCAGAAGAGGCACUGAUUCAGCUGGAUGGGACACAGCACUCAUUGCUGGAGGCUCUGAAGUUUCCAAAGAGAUUAAGGUCGAGAAAGUAUAUAAAUGAUAACUUUGAUGACAUUUCUGGAGGAUGAAGAGCAGCAAUGAUAACUGAGACUAUACGUGUGAGUGCCAUUCAAAAGGGCUUAGGAAAUAUCAGUCACACCCUGAGGGUACAUCUAAUCUGGACUGCACUCCCUGCUCCUAGUCAAUACACAUUUCAUCAUGUCAUCCAAGCUGAUUGCCAAGAAUCCUUCCUACUGAAUCAUAUAUUUCUGAGCUGCCAUCACUCCAAACUGCAUGGCUGCCAUAUUCACAUCUACUGGUGUCAGCACUGCAAAAGGAGAUGAGAAAGAUCCUUAUCCCCAUUUGACAAGCCUCUCCUGGACCAGAACAGAAGCACAUGGAUCCUAUCCCUCCUUCUUCCCUCCUUUAGCAAAGUCGGACAUAACUGGAGCAGAAGCUUCAACAGACAUAGCAGCAGACUCCUGUUCAAGUGCUCUGAAGAAUGGGUAAGGAAAGUGAGAGUUCAUGUGGUACAAUAAAACAUAUCUGAGUGGCCACAGAGUGCAUGUUGUGAUUUGAGAGGUUUGUGGUUUUAAAUAAAGUAUAAAUGAGCAAUAAGAUUAGAAACUUCAUUUGUUAAAGUUUGCGUUUCCC
ensembl:lncRNA